CUCGCCUACACGAAGCUGGAAUCGCUAGUAAUCGCGGAUCAGCACGCCGCGGUGAAUACGUUCCCGGGCCUUGUACACACCGCCCGUCACACCAUGAGAGUCUGUAACACCCAAAGCCGGUGGGAUAACCUUUAUAGGAGUCAGCCGUCUAAGGUAGGACAGAUGAUUAGGGUGAAGUCGUAACAAGGUAAC
rnacentral:rRNA from 1 species